rnacentral:rRNA from 1 species
UUUUGUGGGGUGCUCGAGUGGCGAACGGGUGAGUAACACGUGAGUAACCUGCCCUUGACUUUGGGAUAACUUCAGGAAACUGGGGCUAAUACCGGAUAGGAGCUCCUGCUGCAUGGUGGGGGUUGGAAAGUUUCGGCGGUUGGGGAUGGACUCGCGGUUUAUCAGCUUGUUGGUGGGGUAGUGGCUUACCAAGGCUUUGACGGGUAGCCGGCCUGAGAGGGUGACCGGCCACAUUGGGACUGAGAUACGGCCCAG